rnacentral:rRNA from 1 species
GAUGAACGCUGGCGGCGUGCCUAAUACAUGCAAGUCGAGCGAAUGGAUUAAGAGCUUGCUCUUAUGAAGUUAGCGGCGGACGGGUGAGUAACACGUGGGUAACCUGCCCAUAAGACUGGGAUAACUCCGGGAAACCGGGGCUAAUACCGGAUAACAUUUUGAACCGCAUGGUUCGAAAUUGAAAGGCGGCUUCGGCUGUCACUUAUGGAUGGACCCGCGUCGCAUUAGCUAGUUGGUGAGGUAACGGCUCACCAAGGCAACGAUGCGUAGCCGACCUGGUAGGGUGAUCGGCCACACUGGGACUGGGACACGGCCCAGACUCCUACGGGAGGCAGCAGUAGGGAAUCUUCCGCAAUGGACGAAAGUCUGACGGAGCAACGCCGCGUGAGUGAUGAAGGCUUUCGGGUCGUAAAACUCUGUUGUUAGGGAAGAACAAGUGCUAGUUGAAUAAGCUGGCACCUUGACGGUACCUAACCAGAAAGCUACGGCUAACUACGUGCCAGCCGCCGCGGUAA